ensembl:ncRNA C07A12.12 ncRNA
ACCCCGUGCGUCCCGUCGCUCACUAUCUCUAUUCUGCAUGGUAUGCCCCGCCUCCAAAAAUCGGGUAGGCGGGGGGAGUCAUAGCCUUCAGCUCGUUCUUGCACUACUGCUUGCCAUUUUGUUAGUCCAAGAGCACAGG